rnacentral:rRNA from 1 species
ACGGCGGCCGUAACUAUAACGGUCCUAAGGUAGCGAAAUUCCUUGUCGGGUAAGUUCCGACCUGCACGAAUGGUGUAACGAUCUGGGCACUGUCUCAACAGAAGACUCGGUGAAAUUGUAAUAGCGGUGAAGAUACCGCUUACCCGUAUCUAGACGGAAAGACCCCGUGAACCUUUACUAUACCCUGAUAUUGAAUUUCGAUCCUGUAUGUGUAGGAUAGGUGGGAGGCUUUGAAGCUGGUUCGUCAGGAUCGGUGGAGCCAACCUUGAAAUACCACUCUUAUUGUAUUGAGAUUCUAACUUGAACCUGUGAAUCCAGGUUGAGGACAGUUUCAGGCGGGUAGUUUGACUGGGGCGGUUUCCUCCUAAAAGGUAACGGAGGAGUGCGAAGGUACCCUCAACACGGUUGGCAAUCGUGUGUAGAGCGUAAAGGUAUAAGGGUGCUUAACUGCGAGACCCACAAGUCGAGCAGGUGCGAAAGCAGGCCUUAGUGAUCCGGCGGUAGAGUGUGGAAUUGCCGUCGCUCAUCGGACAAAAGGUACUCCGGGGAUAACAGGCUUAUCGCUUCCAAGAGUUCACAUCGACGAAGCGGUUUGGCACCUCGAUGUCGGCUCGUCGCAUCCUGGGGCUGGAGAAGGUCCCAAGGGUUUGGCUGUUCGCCAAUUAAAGCGGCACGUGAGCUGGGUUUAGAACGUCGUGAGACAGUUCGGUCCCUAUCUGAUAUGGGCGUUGGAUAUUUGAGAGGACUAAUCCCUAGUACGAGAGGACCGGGAUUGACGAACCAAUGGUGUUCCAGUUGUUCCGCCAGGGGCAUCGCUGGGUAGCUAUGUUCGGACAGGAUAAGCGCUGAAAGCAUCUAAGCGCCAAGCCUUCCUCGAGAUUAGAUAUCCCAACUAGACUCCUUGUAGACUACAAGGUUGAUAGGCUGGAUGUGUAAGCGUAGUAAUACGUUGAGCUAACCAGUACUAAUAAGUCGAUUGGCUUGACCUUAUAUUUUAU